UGGUGGGUAGUUUGACUGGGGCGGUCUCCUCCUAAAGAGUAACGGAGGAGCACGAAGGUUGGCUAAUCCUGGUCGGACAUCAGGAGGUUAGUGCAAUGGCAUAAGCCAGCUUGACUGCGAGCGUGACGGCGCGAGCAGGUGCGAAAGCAGGUCAUAGUGAUCCGGUGGUUCUGAAUGGAAGGGCCAUCGCUCAACGGAUAAAAGGUACUCCGGGGAUAACAGGCUGAUACCGCCCAAGAGUUCAUAUCGACGGCGGUGUUUGGCACCUCGAUGUCGGCUCAUCACAUCCUGGGGCUGAAGUAGGUCCCAAGGGUAUGGCUGUUCGCCAUUUAAAGUGGUACGCGAGCUGGGUUUAGAACGUCGUGAGACAGUUCGGUCCCUAUCUGCCGUGGGCGCUGGAGAACUGAGGGGGGCUGCUCCUAGUACGAGAGGACCGGAGUGGACGCAUCACUGGUGUUCGGGUUGUCAUGCCAAUGGCACUGCCCGGUAGCUAAAUGCGGAAGAGAUAAGUGCUGAAAGCAUCUAAGCACGAAACUUGCCCCGAGAUGAGUUCUCCCUGACUCCUUGAGAGUCCUGAAGGAACGUUGAAGACGACGACGUUGAUAGGCCGGGUGUGUAAGCGCAGCGAUGCGUUGAGCUAACCGGUACUAAUGAACCGUGAGGCUUAACCUUACAACGCC
rnacentral:rRNA from 1 species